CCGACACAAACAGGCCCUGCGCUGAGUCCAAACGGCACGCUCAUCGUACAGGAUCACCACUGCAGAAGGUUACAGCAGGCACAGACACAGGCUGAGAUUCAAGAUCUGGCCUGGGUCACAUGCCAGGAAGUCCCUGAGAAAUGCUACCUACCUGUCAUGAAGCAGAAUAUGCCAGAGAGGUCCCCAAGAAGGGUAGCCAGGGAUCGGAGUUAAGGGAAUGCGGUCAGCCUGCCCUGUCAGUGCCCGUGUCCACGUACUCGGCAGAACACCACCUUCUCCAUCCUGGCUCUUCCCAAAGGCCAACUCUCUGACCCAUGCACAGAACAAAGGUGUCCUUGGAUAUACAUUCUGUGUGCUGCUGCUGACCCUGACAGAUCACUUUGCCUAUAUGAGAUGGACACAGUUUAUAUCCAAAGAGCCUUCUUUAUUUGCCGUGACAUGGAAGAGACUCGAUGGCUAUGGCUUUUCCCAGGGCUGGGUCUUGGAGAACUUCAAGCCCAACGCUCUACGGUAAAAGGCUGGGCAGGCUGUCACUGAGAAAAUUCAGAAUGCGGAUUGAUUCUG